CCUUAUUCCUAAAUUGUAGGGACCAAAACUCCAAAAAUCAAACACAACCUUCCUUUUAUGGUCAUAAACCUUGUGUUUAAAUUUCAUAGAUUUCUAUUUACUUGUACUAAAGUUAUGGUGCGAAAACCAAGAAUAAUGCUUAUUUGGGCCCUUUUUUGGCCCCUAAUUCCUAAACUGUUGGGACCUCAACUCCCAAAAUCAAUCCCAACCUUCCUUUUGUGGUCAUAAACUUUGUGUUUAAAUUUCAUUGAUUUCUAUUUACUUAUACUAAAGUUAUUGUGCGAAAACCAAGAAUAAUGCUUAUUUGGGCCCUUUUUUGGCCC
rnacentral:lncRNA from 1 species